AAGGGGAUUGGAAACGACCGCCCACGCCCUAUGUAAAAGGACUGACAUCCGGUGAAGCACUCUGUGUAAUUAUUGCGCUCGCAAAUAAUUACAUGGAGGACUGCGCUACAGUUUUGUAUCCCUGGUUUCUAGCUCUCCUAUCCACUAGAGAUCACUCAGGGCCUGGGAGAUACUUGAGAGAAGUAAGCUUAUACCACUGACAAGCUCUAAGUCCGUUGUCUUUACUCUAUUUCCAAUUUUUUUGAGUUUAGCUUGAAUUACUCUAUGUCAACUUUUCUCUGUCCCUCCUGUGAAGUCAAAACAGCAAAGGACAUUGCUUGACUUGGUUAUUAUGUAUCUAAGUGCUACAUAGAAUGGCUUCAUGCUAUAAAUAAGCUGUACUGUUCAUAAACGUUUGCAGUAUAGUCCUUUAAACUGCUUUAGUAUACUUUUAGACACACCACGGGCCUGUCCCUCCUACGACUUCAUAGUAAAGGCUAUUUCUUCUUGCAUAGCAUUUAUUUGUCUAGUAAUAGUGGCUGCAUGGCUUAGUCGACUUUUUAGAGCUAAAUUCUCUUUACUUUUUAGAAAAAUCAACAUUAAAAAUGAUCAAUUUCACUGUUUCUAUGUACAGCACAUUGUAGAGCUCUGAUUGUAGAGCAGUCAAGACAGGUAAUGAGCAUGCUGAGUAUAAAUAAUUAUAAUCCUUUGUAGUUUCCAAUCCCCUUUCUUUUGUAUCUCUGAGUCUACUGAUAAAAAAAGUGAAUAGAGGCGCUAUAGAUUAUAUCUCUGCAUUAUAAAUAGCUUACUUGAUGAUGUCUGAGCAAGUGACUGGUACUAGCUGUUGCAUGCAAUCUCUAAUAGUUCAUGGAGACUACCUGAGUGUAGAGAGAGCUCCACACUGUCCUCUGCAUCAAGAGAGCAACACUUUACAGUGCGGGCAGCUAGUGGGCUGCUGCGUUCCAUGCUGUCAGGAAGAAGCAUCCUCUCCAUCCUCAACCCCUCAAGAUCCACAGGCUGCAUCACAAGACGGUGUAUCUCUGGACUCAACCCCUCACAACUACACACUCAGAACGAUAGUGACAGGCCUCAUAGUGAGAGUGGAUCUCUUCAAAUUCUGUACGCACUAGCAGACAUUACGAGCAAGCAACCCAGGGCACUGCCAUCUCUAUACACACGUUUCCAACAUGACUGUUGCAAUAAUAAUCUUUGUAUACUUACCGUGUUUUGUUUGAUACCCAUUUUUGUACCAUUAAUAUUUUGUGA